rnacentral:rRNA from 1 species
CCGCUAUUGGAGUUCGAUUAAGCCAUGCGAGUCGAGAGUCCUCGGGACUCGGCGUACCGCUCAGUAACACGUGGGUAACCUGCCCUAUGCUGGGGAAUAACCUCGGGAAACUGAGAAUAAUGCCCCAUAGCCCACUACGCCUGGAACGGUGAGUGGGUCAAAGCCCCGGCGGCAUAGGAUGGGCCUGCGCCGUAUCAGGUUGUAGGGGGUGUAAAGUACCCUCUAGCCAUCAACGCGUACGGGUGUUGGGAGACAUUGCCCGGAGAUGGAUUCUGAGACACGAAUCCAGACCCUACGGGGUGCAGCAGGCGCGAAAACUUGGCAAUGCGAGAAAUCGUGACCAGGGAACUCCAAGUGCGUAGGGUAAGACCUACGCUUUUCUUGACUCUUCAAAGGUCUUGGAGUAAGGGGUGGGUAAGGACCGGUGCCAGCCCGCCGCGGUAAUACCGGCGCCUCAAGUGGUAGUCGCUUUUAUUGGGCCUAAAACGUCCGUAGCCGGUCUGGUGCAUUCGUGGGUAAAUCAACCCGCUCAACGGGUUGAAUUCUGCGAGCACGGCCAGACUUGGGACCGGGAGAGGUGUGGGGGUACUCUCAGGGUAGGGGUAAAAUCCUGUCUUCCUGAGAGGACCACCCUGUUGCGAAGGCGCCACACUAGAACGGAU